rnacentral:rRNA from 1 species
GACGAACGCUGGCGGCGUGCUUAACACAUGCAAGUCGAACGAAGUGGCGAACGGGUGAGUAACGCGUAAUCCACCUGCCCUUCAGAGGGGGACAACAGUUGGAAACGACUGCUAAUACCGCAUACUGAAGGAGGUGUUUGCGGCGGAUUAGCUACGUGGAGGGGUAACGGCCCACCAAGGCGAAGAUCAGUAGCCGGGCUGAGAGGAUGAACGGCCACAUUGGGACUGAGAAACGGCCCAGACUCCUACGGGAGGGAGCAGUGGGGAAACUUGCGCAAUGGACGAAAGUCUGACGGAGCAACGCCGCGUGAGAGAUGACGGCCUUCGGGUUGUAAAGCUCUGUUAAGCGGGACGCGGUACCGGAAUAGAAAGCCACGGCUAACUACGUGCCAGCAGCCGCGGUAAUAC